GCUGCACCCUGGGGGUUUGUAAUGUGCAGCCAAGAUGGAGAACUCCUGAUCUAAACAAAUAAGGUGAUGCACUGUAUGCUUUCGUUUAAAGGUUAGCUAUCAUCACUACUAUCUUUUCUCACAUCACAGCACUAAUCUUAAAAUAGCCAACCAGCUUUUAAAUUUAAAUGUGCAGCAAACCAGUCACGUUUUUAAAAAGCAAAGUGUUACGCUUCCUCAAACUUUCAAAACAUGCUGUAUUUAAGUUUUUCUCAGUGGCAUGGCAAAUUUAUUAAACAUUUUCCCCCACACUGUUCACAUCACUCAGGUUUUAUUGAAUUUAUAAAAUUACUACAAUAUUUUCGACAAGCAGAAUUUUUAUGACAAAAAUAUAGAGUAUACACCUUUUGGAAUUUGGAAAAGAAAAAAAUACUCACAAAAUAAGUAUACAUAUAUUUUUAAAUGAAGUUUAUUUUCCCCUGGGAAUAGAAAUUCUAUUCUGAAACUUUUUCAAAAUUAAAGUGUUUAGUUAUAGCAAUCAAAAUCUGUAUUUGCUAUUAGGUUUCUAAGUUAAUUUAGAGACUAGCUUUUUAAACCAAUUCCAUUAUUUCCAAUUUCUUAACUUCUAAACUUACAAAUUUUUCACUUAAAUACCCAUAACUACUUUUGCAAGAAUCAUUUUAUGUAUAUAUAUGUAUGUAUAUAUAUAUAUGUAUGUGUAUAUACACAUAUAUAAGCUAUAUAUACAUCUUAUAACUAGCUACAAUAAAGACAUUUAAAAGGCCAAAAAAAUUCAUGUGCUUAUGUUUCUAACAAUAUUUAAACACGCAAAGAAAAGACUAUUUUAACAGCAAUUAUGCUACUUUCUAAUGCUUGCUUAUUUAUGUUUAGGUUAAAACAAUAGUUAGGGUGCAAAUGUGAAUGAUAAAUACUAUUCAACUAGUUAACUGAAAAAAAGUGAAAAUUUUGGAAAGCCAAUUAUAAUUAAGAUAGUCAUUGUAUCUAAGAUAUUAAAUAAUAAAGCAGUGAGUUUUAAAUUCACUCAAGAAUUAGAAAGCAAAAAAAUUACAAAAAAAUAAUUAGAAAGCAAAGAUAAAUACUAGCAACAUAACACUUAGUGAGUGGUCAAUGAAUAUUAACUGAAGAAAUUUUUUAAAAGAGGUAAAUAAAUGUAUAAACAAUCCUAAAUUAAAUGGUUAACAGACCCCCUGAACUCACCGCCAUUCCCAAGUGAUUAUUUUCUUUUCUGAAAUAAUAUACCUAAUAUAGAAAUAGUAAGAAGGCCAUUUUGGGGAACUCUAUAAUCAUCUAUCAAAACUGGAGAAAAAGAUAAAGUGAAUAAAAUUUUAAAAAGGUAGACAGAAUGAGAAAAGUUCAUAUGUCUUUUUUUGGCUAAUUAUAGACAACAUUGGAAAGCUCUUAGAAAUUUACUAACAUUCAACCAUGAUUUCCAUAAGAGCUCUUCAGGACAGGUAGAAAGGAAAUGUUGAGAAACUACACAGAAUUCUGAAAACCAGAGGGCAAGAAAACUCACACAGUGAGUCUUUCGUUUUCUCUAGAGUAAGACACUAAUGGACUUGAACUAUUAAAAACAUCAUCUAAGACUAUAUCCACUGCCGUCACACUCCCCCAAAAGAAAAAAAAAAAAAUACCUGCAGGAGUCAAAUCCCCAAAAGUGGCAAAUGCCAACAUACAGUAGAGGAAGCCAUAUGCUACAAAAAAAAAAAAAAAAAAAGAGAGAGAAUGUUAUAAGACCAAAAAUUGGUAAGUCAUCGGUAUAUAGCUUCCUCACUCAAGUCACCUUCAAGGACCCUGCGUGAACAUGGCCUGAUUCACAAAAGCAGGAAAGAAAAGUUGCAAUCUGUGCCUUUUCCCCUCAAAGGUCAUGGCCUAGAUUAACCAAAUAUGGCAAGGAGAAUGGAGGGCAACUCAUCCCUGUAAGGAGGUUUGCCACUAAAGCAAAACCACAAAUGAAUUCAAACUCUUCUCUCCAGUGAUGACUAAGGGUGAUCAAAACACAAAAAGUGACUAAGGUAAAGCACUGAUAUGCUAUUGAAUUUCACUUACCUAAACUAGUACUUCUUAGAGAAAAAAAAAAAAAGAAUAUUGGCACUUUUUUUUUCCUGAGCACCAUGUGACAAGGGUCUUUGAAUUCAUGAAGGCACUAUUAAUAAGUGAAGGAUAUACACAUUACUUAUACAUACAUAUGCACUUAGCCUAAAUAAAGACAUGACAGGCUAUGUUUGUUCCCAUUUUAAAGUAUAUGUAUGAACUUAAGAGUUCAUCCUAGUUGGAUAGUGAAAACAGAAAACAGGGAAUCAAUUUUAAGUUGUUCAACUUUGCUUAUUGUGAGUAAAGAUAUAUAUAAUCUAGCAAAGUUAUGCAAAGUUAGAAUAUACCCAUUGCCCUAUAUUCUCGAUGAUAGUUACCCCUGCCACCAUUCCCCACACCCUCUUAGUAAGCCCAUGCAGACAUCAUUAAUCAAGUAGGUAGGUCAUUCUCCGCUAAUCCUAGCUGAAAAAUCAAAGUCUUAAAAUUAGCCACAACAUCAGAGAUGACACAGGAGUUAAAAAAAAAAAAAAAGGCAGUUUGCUAUCCAUGGUCAUGAUGGUAAACCACAGUAAGUGUGCGUACUUAUUGCUACACACUUUUCUCUAGCCAACAACUGCAAAACAAGAAAAAAAAAUCAAUAAUAAGCUAAAUGAGAGCUGUGUUCUAAAGCCUCCCCAAGAUGAGGCACCAUUGCAAGAGGCUAUGGACAAUCACCCGAGGAUGCCAAUUCUGAAGGCAUGCUGAAUCACUUGGAUAACCCAGCAACCCCUAGCGACCACAAAUACCACUGGAAUAGGGCAUAAACAGAAAUGUUCUAAUACUGAAAAGAUAUUCAUUUUAUGCUCAUUUACCAUAUAAAUUUGUCAAAUGAAGACUUUUAAUUACAUGGACAUGUAUAUAUUAUCUGACAAAAAUCUGGGUGGUUAACCCUUACUAUCUGUAGGCCAUACUUUUGAUUGUUGUCAAACAAAAAAAAAAACCCACAACUCUCUAUUUUGACCAAGUAGUGGUAACUUCUACAGCAAAUUUGUCUCAUCUUCUAUAGAUAAACUUUUAAAAUCAAUUGGAAAACUAAAAUGAUUCCAAGUUGCAUUGUCCACAACUAAGAAACUGUGCAUACAGAUGCAUGCACAGAUAGAGACACAGGCACACACACUGUCACACUCACGCAUACACAAUUAAAGAAAACCACUGGAAACUCUAGGACUGUCUUUUGAAAGAAAAUGGCCUCGUUCUAGCUAUCCAGAAAAAAGCAAUCCACAGUUCCUUGCAUAGAGGAAUUAAAAAGAAAAUGCCUGUCCAGCCAACAAUAAUAGGGGUCAGAAUUGUUCAACUGUCACACACAAAAAAAUACUCAAGUAAAGGUCAUAAAGCCAGCUCCUUCUUUAGUACCAGAUGCAUCAUAAAAAUGUGCCACUGGGGCCAGGAUCCUGACACUGGGAGGCCAAGGCAGGCAGAUCACAAGGUCAGGCAUUCGAGACCAGCCUGACCAACACGGUAAAACCCCGUCUCUACCAAAAAUACAAAAAUUAGCCAGGCAUGGUGGUGCUCGCCUGUAAUUCCAGCUACUUGGGAGGCUGAGGCAGGAGAAUCGCUUGAACCUGGAAAGCAAAGGUUGCAGUGAGCCGAGAUCGCGCCAUUGCACUCCAGCCUGGGCGACAGGGUGAGACUCUGUCUCAAAAAAAAAAAAGUGCCACUGUUUAUUUAACCACCCUGCUAUGGAUGAGCUAAUCCAAACUAUUGCAAUGUACAUCUAUUUAAAAGUCAAUACACAGGAAAAAGGUCUGGAAGAAUAUAUACUAGAAAAGAAUGGUUACCUCUAGGGGAUGGAGUGUCAAGGUGAAUUUUGGUUUAUUCAUACUGUCUAAAUGAUUGCUUAAUAACUCAGGUAUUGCUUUCAAAAAGUAAGAGGAAGGGUGGGAAAUACCCUGUUCUCUCAGAAUUUUAAGUCCAGAGUGCUGGGAGAAAAAGAUGGCAGCACUGAGCGGGACUGAAAAGUUUUCCUAGAACAUCUCCUUUCAUUACAUGACUCACCAUUGUUCACUCAUAAAAUGCUUCACCGCAUCCAAAAGGAGUUCUGCCUACUAAUACCAGAAAAGGUUGAGAAAGAAGAGUGUGGUUAUAGCUCCUGAUGGCUGAUUCUAUUCUCUCUCCUUUGUUCCUAAUUGUCCCCAUGCUGCCAGAUCUGGCAAUAUACUUUAUAUUGAGAUUUAAGUGAGUAAAAGUCUUUGUGCCAAACUUGCAAAAGCACAGAGAUUAUCAACAGCACCCUCCUCCCACCUUGCCAGAGUAAAAGUGAAGAAGGAAUUCAUUAUAGUCAUACAUUUUACUCAUCUUUAAUAUUCUGAAUAUAUUACCCAUGGAAACAACCCUUCAUUUAUGUCAAAAAAAAUUGCUUAAUGCAUUAAUAUCCCUUUACAUUAAUUUAUUUGGUUUAUCUACAGUAACUAAGCAAAACUGAAUCCACCCUGUCAUAUAUUCUAGGUUUUGUGGAUACAUUCUGAAUUAUUUAUUUAUUCAACAACUAAUGCUAGUCCAAAAAAAUCAAGAAGCAUGUGAAUUUAAAUACUAAAUAAAGGGAUAACUUAAAGGCUUAAUGUUUCAGGAUACAAUAAGAUAUUCAUCAUUCUAAUCAGUCUCAUGAGUUAAUCCUGGUGCUGUGCAUCUUGGCUGCACUGGUAGUCCUGUACUUCCGCAUCUCUGUUAUAAGGCUAACAUGAGGUAAAGCACCUGGCCCACAGUAAAUGCUCUAAAUGUUUUAUUACCAAAGAGACCAACAAAAAACUUUUUGGGGAAGAGGAACAUAUUAUGGGACAGAAAGGGCAAAUUCUAUCCUAUGAAAAUAUACUAGAUUAGUUACUGUAUUUGGAGAAGAGGCAGCAUAAGGACGCCAAAGAUGGAGAGGUCAGGUCAGGCAGCAUAAGGACGCCAAAGAUGGAGAGGUCAGGUCGGGCACGGUGGCUCCCGCCUGUAAUCCCAGCACUUUCAAAGGCUGAGGCAGGCGGAUCUCCUGAGCUUAGGAGUUUGAGACCACCCUGGCCAACAUGGUGAAAAAUUUUUGUAAAAAUACAAAACAUCAGCUGGGCAUGGUGGUGCGUGCCUACAGUCCCAGCUAUUUGGGAUGUUGAGUCACGAGAAUUGCUUGAGCCCCGGAGGUGGAGGUUGCAGUGAGCCAAGAUCGUGUCACUGCACUCUAACUUGGGCUACAGAGUGAGACUCUGUCUCAAAAAAAAAAAAAAAAAAUUAGAGAUCAAAGUUCCAGAGAUGGAUAUCAAAGCAGAUAAUAAGGGGACCCAAUAAAGACAAUAACAGUCACAUCCAGGGAAAGAAGAAAAUGCCAGCAUCAAGCUAAUAGCAGGCACUGUUUUCUUUAGCCACUUUUACUUUAUUUACAGCCAUUUGCCACGCCCAUGGGACUCUACUUUAAUGAAAGAUAAUACAAAUGUCCUUACAAAUAAAAAUCUCCCUCCUUCGAGUAUGCGGCUCUGUAGCCGUAGAAAGAGUAGUAUGGUUACCUACUCCCACUUCCCCUCUAGAAGAGAAUCUCAUUAUCAUACCUCUCUGAAUCCAGACACAAAAAAGAUACUUAAAAUAUCUGAAAGAGAUUUAAAAACCUAAACUCAGAGUAGCUUCUACCUAGAACACAAUUAUUUUGUUUUAAAACAUUAACUUAUAAAAAAAAUCUGAAGCAGACCAUUAAAAAAAUUGAACAUAGUAUUUAAAUUAAAUGUUCCCCAAAACACUUUGAUUAGAAAAUAGAUUAAAAUUUUACCUAUGAAAUAAAUGCAGGCAUUUUGCUUAUGUAAGUCCACAACAUUUUCUGAAAGGUGUACAACUAUUUACAAGAGGUUAUGGAUACAGUGAUGGGAAUUUACCAUAAAGAAUGAAAAUUUAUUUUUUCACAGUUUUGGAGGCUGAGAAAUCCAAGAUAAGGCACUGGCAUGUUAGGGCUCAGUCUCUCGCUUCCAACACUAUGUAGAGCACUACGUCCUUUGGAAGGGAGAGACAUUUGGCAGAAGAGCAGGAGAGUGUUCACCCACGCCCACAAGCCCUUUACACGGCGGCAUUAAUCUAUUCAUGAGGGUGGUACCCACAUGACCUAAACACCUCCUGGUAGGCCCCACCUCCCAACACUGUUGCACUGGGAAUGAAGGGAAUCUACUAUUUCUGUACUCCAUGUAUUAAGAGUAUUACAUCUACUGGCGGUAGGUAAGGCAUAACAAACAUCAUCUGCAUUAUCUUAUCUCCUAUACUUCAUAUUUAUAUGAUAAAAACAAAAUAUAAUACCAAUAAAGCUUAAAAGCACAUCAAAAUUGUUAUACUCUUUUUAAAACUUUUAAAGUAACUAUAACUGAUUGGAUUUCUUAAGGCUUGAAUGUUUCUUAGAAAGAUAACACCUAACACCUGAACAUUUCAUAUGAAGUCUAGUUAAAUGCAGGGUCGGCUGGGCACGGUGGCUCACAUCUGUAAUCCCGACACUUUGGGAGGCCAAGGCAGGUAGAUGACCUGAGGUCAGGAGUUCAAGACCAGCCUGACUAAUAUGAUGAAACCCCAUCUCUAUUAAAAAUACAAAAAUUAGCUGGGCAUGGUGGCGAGCACCUGUAGUCCUAGCCUGUAGCCUAGGAGGCUGAGACAAGAGAAUUGCUUGAACCCAGGAAGUGGAAGUUGCAGUGAGCCAAGAUCGCGCCACUGCACUCCGGCCUGGGCGACAGAGACUGUCCAAAAAAAAUGUAGGGUCAACAUUAUCAAACACUAGAUUUUCCCAUAUAUUAGUAAUUCUUCCUAUGGUGAAACAUUUUCACUCAAGAAUAAACAGGUUACUGAAUUGAGAGAGAUAGGAGAGUGCAGUGUGGCUCAUGCCUGUAAUCCGAGAAUUUUGGAAAGUCAAGGCAGGCAGAUCCCUUGAGCCCAGGAGUUUGAGAUCAGUCUGAACAGCAUGGCAAAACCCUGCUGCUACAAAAAAAUACAAAAAUUAGCCAGGAGUAGUGGUGCAUGCCUGUAGUCCUAGUUAUUCGGGAGGCUGAGGUAAAAGGAUCAUUUGAGCCUGGGAGGUCGAGACUGCAGUGAGCUGAGAUCACUCCACUAUACUCAAGACUGGGUGAAAGAGUGAGACCCUGUCUCAGAAAAAAAAAAAAAAACUGAUAGUAGUAAUAAUAAUAAUGAUAGUAAACAAUAUUAAUAACUAACACUUAUUCAACACACUACGUGCCCAGCACUUUUCUAACUGCUUUUUAUGAAUUGAUUCUUCUAA
rnacentral:lncRNA from 10 species